rnacentral:rRNA from 1 species
UGGGGAAUUUUGGACAAUGGGGGAAACCCUGAUCCAGCCAUCCCGCGUGUGCGAUGAAGGCCUUCGGGUUGUAAAGCACUUUUGUCAGGAAAGAAACGUCAUGGGUUAAUACCCCGUGAAACUGACGGUACCUGCAGAAUAAGCACCGGCUAACUACGUGCCAGCAGCCGCGGUAAUACGUAGGGUGCAAGCGUUAAUCGGAAUUACUGGGCGUAAAGCGUGCGCAGGCGGUUCGGAAAGAAAGAUGUGAAAUCCCAGAGCUCAACUUUGGAACUGCAUUUUUAACUACCGGGCUAGAGUGUGUCAGAGGGAGGUGUAAUUCCGCGUGUAGCAGUGAAAUGCGUAGAUAUGCGGAGUAACACCGAUAGCGAAGGCAGCCUCCUGGGAUAACACUGACGCUCAUGCACGAAAGCGUGGGGAGCGAACAGG